GGGGUUGACUGUUCUGAUUGAGAGAGAGUUAAAGAGGACGUGAAACCGGUAGGAUGGAAACGGAUAGAGCCAGCGAAGUCGCUCGUAUUCAGCCAAGGCCCGGGGCUCAUCGUCGUCGUGUUUCUAAUCGAGCACGGCGGCGACUCUGCUCUGGGCUGAGGUGCAUUUGCGGGCGUUUGCGCUGAGACUUGCGAGGCAGCUGCUGGACGGGCGUUCUAGAGGCUUCCCUCUGGGUUGAACCUGGAUGCCAAUACAGCUGUUUGCCUUGCUCGUACUGGUCUGGCCUACGAACCUGGGCUGUGUUGUUGCCUUCGGGCCAAGGCAUCGCAUGCGAUGUCUAGUCUGCGGGCUGCAGCAUGGUUCAGUGUUCCCAGAUCGCCUCUCGGUGUACAAGCUGGUCAUCUCUCCGACCCGUCUUGAAACACGGACCAAGGAGUUUAGCGUAUGCGCGAGUCAUUGGGUGCACAAACCCACAGGCGCAAUGAAAGUAAAGGCUCGGUCGCCGGGCUGACAUGUGAGUGCCGCGGCUUCGGCCUAGGCAUGCAGCAUGGUCCCGUUGCAGCCGCUUGCGGCGCAGCGGAGACAGAGCGUAUGCGCUGAGACCCGAAAGAUGGUGAACUAUUCCUGAGCAGGACGAAGCCAGAGGAAACUCUGGUGGAAGUCCGAAGCGAUUCUGACGUGCAAAUCGAUCGUCUGACUUGGGUAUAGGGGCGAAAGACUAAUCGAACCAUCUAUAAUUUUUUUUUUUUUUAAAAAAAAAAAAUUCGGGGAAAACCCUU
rnacentral:rRNA from 1 species